rnacentral:tRNA from 1 species
UUAAUUGAAGCCAAAAAGAGGCAAUUUAUUGUUAAUAAAUCAACUGACUUCCUUAGUCCAAUUAAA